rnacentral:rRNA from 1 species
UACGGAGGGUGCAAACGUUGCUCGGAAUUAUUGGGCGUAAAGCGCACGUAGGCGGUUCGUUAUGUCGGAUGUGAAAGCCCUCGGCUUAACCGAGGAAGUGCAUCCGAAACUGGCGAGCUUGAGUACGGAAGAGGGUCUCGGAAUUCCCGGUGUAGAGGUGAAAUUCGUAGAUAUCGGGAGGAACACCAGUGGCGAAGGCGGCGAUCUGGGCCAAUAUUGACGCUGAGGUGCGAAAGCGUGGGGAGCAAACAGG